rnacentral:lncRNA from 1 species
CGGCAGACUGAGUAAAUAUUACAGACACGAAGCUACAAAGGAGUACCCAGGCUACAGUCAGUGAAACUUAUAGACUCUGGCUGUGAAAGGCACUCGGCUUUUGCAUCAUGAGAUGCGAUCCGGAGCCGAGAAUUUCUCAGCGAAGUAUCACAAACUGCGGUGGACAUUUGCUGGAGAUACAGUGCAGGGCCCGCUUCGUUAGAGACAAUUUAUUCACAAAUCUUAUUUCUUGUGCACCAGUGGACUUCCGGAUCGUCAGAAAUGUCGAGUAUGCGUGGUUGACCAUACAGAGUGUCAAGCCUACUAAAUCCUGAGGUUUUCCUGUGCGUCUCAGCUUUUUCUGAAGGUAGCUCUGUCUUCUGGCAUACUCGUAGUACUGGCCAACAUUGAAGCCUAUAACGACUUUAACGAUUGAGGCCGGUCUGCUUCCAAACAGUGCAUUCUCUUCGAAAAACUUGGCAAUUUCGUCUUCAUCAACAGCAUCCUCUGGCAAUCCAGAGACAGCGACGGCGAAACUAUCGGGCCGUAUCACUUCCUCUGUUGACAUCUUUGCAACCAGUUGCUGCGUUUGAAACGCGACAUGUUCAGAAAGUCAUUGAUCUGUGCAAGCUCAGAACAGCCAUUCGACUUCCUCAACCCGGCAAAAAUUGGCGUUUUAGCUGCAUGCGUCCCAACUUCUGUUCAACUUCUGUCCACUGUCGAGUCUGCGAAGCGACGGGCUGGCCCUUGUUCACGGGAAUCUGAAGCUCACCUGCCUCCGGCUGAAGUGAGGAAAGAGCGCGACUGACACAACUAUUGUUACGAAGAUCAUCGACACGGGGAUCAGGGAAGAGCGAGCUCGGGCGUCAAGGCAGCCGGCCGUCCCGAAGACUGGUCAAGAAGACACCACAAAUCGGAGUGAACCACUUAUAUUCUCAUCAACCAUACGGAAAAGCCAGACUGCGGACUGCGUCGGCGAAUCCCUUCGGUUGCUUACCAGCGGUAUAGACGGAACAACGCGGCGACUGUUCGUGAGACCAGAAAUUGUAGACUCCAAGGAGAACAGGCGACAAGAAAAAACACUGGGAGGCUGAGAGAACGAGCAACAUCUUGAUGAAGUCGAAGAAUAGAGGAAACCCUGUGUUGACAAAGACAGCCACAGCAAGAAGGCGUGGGGGGAACAAAGCGUAAAAGCCCCUCAGAAGCGGGCAAAUGAAAGCGGGAAAACAUAAAGAGAUGCCUUCAAAACAUACCGCAGCCUAAGUCCCCAAGCUCUCUCGGAUUGCAGCAGAGGCUGUACUGGCCGCAUUUUGGAUACCCGGAGGCGGUAAACAGCUCUGCAAUAUCAUCCACAUCGUGGAGGUCAACAAUGAGCUGCGUAUCGAUUUUCCGGACCUUGCUGUAUUUCCCAUGCUCUUUUGCUUCAUUGACAUUGACCCCUCGAACGAGGUCUGAGUCACUGUCUGUUUUUUCUCCAUGGUCAAACCCAUGCUCAGUGGUUAGCCGUCGUGUUUUAUCUCUGAGGAUGCUCUCCUCAGCAGCUGUUCCUUCGGACCGCAUGUCCGUCACGACUCUAAGAGUUGCUGUCGAAGGUAGACGGCAACUUGAAAUGCUGGAGAUAGAGACGAAAGCAAGCUGCCCGAGCACCUCAGCAUACUGUGAUCGGGAAGCGGCUACAAGACCAUUCACUCGUUGAUGGAGGCGAACAUCUGCCCUAGCAGGUUUUCUUCUGACACAAGGGUGACGUUCAACAGUGAACGGACUUCCACGAAGUCAAAAAUACCACACUGCUCCAUAAGGGCAGUUUUGGAACUGCAGGCCAGGAAUGAGUCGAUCUGAAAAAGCGGUGCGAUUUUUCUCAGCUGAACUGGGACUCUGUUACAAAGCUGAACUGCAAUCGAAACUGGUGCGCACUCUGACUACAAGGAAUGCAUGCUGCGUCCUGUUUUCUUUCGGCGGUGGAUACACAUGAGAGUUGCGAGGCGACAUUUACCGUUUCAAAACAGUGGCGCUUUUGAUACCCUCUUCGUGACUUCAGUGCCUAGAGUGAACCGCGCAAUUGCUCACACAUUUUGUGUUCAGUUACACAGACUAAACAGGUUUUACUCCAGAUAUUCUGGCACCGUUUUGGUUGAUGGUGAUCUUGUCAAGCCGAAACGCACGUGCGAGGAGACCAUGGGGUUGCCCUUGUGAGUCAGGGAUAUGAGAGCACCGAAAAGCGAUCUUGUCUGUCUACAGGAUCUGCGACGGGUAGCUCUUCUACAACGUACCAAGUGAUACAGGAAAUUCCUGCACUGAAGAGGGAUAGGUUUUUGACUUCACCGUAUUUGAGCUGCGUGUGAGCCUAUUAUUGUUAUACAUGAGCAGACAUAGACGAAGGAGUCGCGCCAUGAGCGACACCACGAUUGUUUCUGCAGAAAUCACGUCAAGGGACGUUCCAGUCAGUCGCGCUGUCCUUCACAUCGGUGACGUUGUCAGGUCCAGCUUUUUACCACCGGGGAACAGCAGCUGAGUGUUUCGCUUCUCGAUGCUCCGGCACGCACAUCCGAUUAUGAUGAAGUCUUAUUUUAGUGGAUACGGGGGAACAUUAGGCCAUCACCAGAGGGUCCUCCAACGGGGACAAGCCAAAGAAAAGGGUUUUCCCCCUACAGACGAUGUGAUGUGGGCUGAAGCUUGAUGCACCUUCGAUCCUAAGCCUACCAUAACCUCUUUGAUGUUAUUCCAGACUCCUAAGUCCCAAUCGUGGCCGGGGCCGCCACGCCGUUUCUCGCAGUACUCCACCGUUGAAGAAUUGAUCGACAGAAGGUACGUGUGGAAAAUGAAGAAACUUCCGACAAUGCUGGGCAAUACGGGGGUGACGUUCGGUCCCCGGCACUUCCCCUCAGAUGUCUUACCAGAGGACGCAGAUACUGAGGACAGUUCCCAAGAGAAUGAAGUACACCGUCUCGAAAGGUAUAUUCGAGUCACCGAAUGCGGCCGUAACUGCGGAGGAUGGAAGAGGCGUAUCGAUGGCAUCGUACCUAGUUUUCAAACAAUGUCUCUGGCUCACCAGUGGGAAACAUGGUUGCCGAAGUAAAGGACAGAGUCGCAGUAGAGUACAGUAGUGUCAGGUAAAAGUACUUGUAAUUAAAGUAGCCGAUAUCGUUGGCUACCUGAAACAGAUCGAAUGUGUGGUGUGUG